UACGUAGGGGGCUAGCGUUGUCCGGAAUCAUUGGGCGUAAAGCGCGUGUAGGCGGUCCGGUAAGUCCGCUGUGAAAGUCGGGGGCUCAACCCUCGAAUGCCGGUGGAUACUGUCGGGCUAGAGUGCGGAAGAGGCGAGUGGAAUUCCUGGUGUAGCGGUGAAAUGCGCAGAUAUCAGGAGGAACACCGGUGGCGAAGGCGGGUCUCUGGGGCCGAUACUGACGCUGGAGGAGCGAAAGCGUGGGGAGCGAACAGG
rnacentral:rRNA from 1 species